rnacentral:lncRNA from 1 species
AUGUUGAGCAAGAUAAGCCACUUCAUGUGAAGAGAAAGACCACAUCUGUGGUUUGUAAUGAGUUCAAUAGGGUUCUUGUUGAGAAAAAAAUGGAAGGUUGAAUGUGUAUGGUGUCACGGGCUAUUUUGUGGAGAUCCAAAGUAUGGAACCUCACAUAUGCAUGCUCAUUUAGCAAGAUGUGCUUCUAGGCAGGCCAAUGGUAACUUGCCAUCCUCAACCAUCAUCUUAUUCUUUAAUCUUAAGUAAUGUUUCCAUUUGCCAAUGGUAACUUACUAAUGUUUCCACUUGUCUAAUGUUCAGGUUGAGGAACUGUCGACUUACUAUAUGCCUGCACGGAGCAUUGAAGAAUGAAGAUUGAAGUCCUAGAUAUUUGAUGUUGUGGGAUGUGUGUGCUUUGUUAUGUUUGCCAUGCUUGCAUUUGUUAAGUGUUAAAGAUAGGAACUUUCAGUCGGGUAAUCCAUUUGCUGAAUAUUUGGUCAGUCAUAAUUGAAUAUGUAUGUAUCAAUUAUAUGUCAAAAUUAUCUAAAUAUCCAGCAGUCCACAUAUCCUAUUUAUCUAAAUAUAUUGCAAUCCUGAUUAUUGUUAUAAUUGAAUGUG